AUCCUUCUCCAGCUCCACUGGCACGUUAACCAUCAAUGGGGUCCAAGCCAAGGACGAAGCUGUCUAUUACUGUGGUGGCCAUGACAGCAGCAGUUAUGGUUCCCUGGUCCAGGCAGCGCUGACCCAGCUGCCCUCAGUGUUGGUGAACCCAGGACAAACCGUCCAGAUCACCUGCUCCGGGCUUAGCAGCAGCAGCAGCUAUGCUUUACCCAUCAGGGGGGUCCAAGCCAAGGACGAGGCUGUCUAUUACUGUGGUGGCUACGACAGCAGCAGUGCUGCUGCCACGGUGACACAGAGCAAUGGGGAAGUGAUACAAAAUCCUCCUGCCAUCGCAGGGCCA